CAGCAGCCACGGUAAUACGAAGGGUGCAAGCGUUAAUCGGAAUUACUGGGCGUAAAGCGUGCGUAGGCGGUUUGUUAAGUCUGCUGUGAAAUCCCCGGGCUCAACCUGGGAAUGGCAGUGGAUACUGGCAAGCUAGAGUGUGUCAGAGGAUGGUGGAAUUCCCGGUGUAGCGGUGAAAUGCGUAGAGAUCGGGAGGAACAUCAGUGGCGAAGGCAGCCAUCUGGGACAACACUGACGCUGAGGCACGAAAGCGUGGGGAGCAAACAGGAUUAGAUACCCCAGUAGUCCCUGUCUCUUAUAC
rnacentral:rRNA from 1 species